rnacentral:rRNA from 1 species
UACGAAGGGGGCUAGCGUUGUUCGGAAUUACUGGGCGUAAAGCGCGUGUAGGCGGUUGCCCAAGUCGGGUGUGAAAGCCUUGAGCUCAACUCAAGAAAUGCACUCGGUACUGGGUGACUAGAGGACCGGAGAGGAUAGUGGAAUUCCCAAGUGUAGUGGUGAAAUACGUAGAGAUUGGGAAGAACACCAGUGGCGAAGGCGGCUAUCUGGACGGUUUCUGACGCUAAGACGCGAAAGCGUGGGGAGCAAACAGG